rnacentral:rRNA from 1 species
UGGGGAAUAUUGCACAAUGGGGGAAACCCUGAUGCAGCGACGCCGCGUGGAGGAUGACGGUCUUCGGAUUGUAAACUCCUGUUAAGUGGGAAGAAUGACCAGGCUCUAAUACAGUCUGGGAGUGACGGUACCACUAGAGAAAGCACCGGCUAACUUCGUGCCAGCAGCCGCGGUAAUACGAAGGGUGCAAGCGUUAUUCGGAGUUACUGGGCGUAAAGAGCGUGUAGGCGGUUUGUUAAGUCGAUUGUUAAAUUCCUUGGCUUAACUAAGGAUGUGCGGUCGAAACUGGCAAUCUAGAGAGCAAGAGAGAUGGGUGGAAUUCUCGGAGUAGCGGUAAAAUGCGUAGAUCUCGAGAGGAAUAUCGGUUGCGAAGGCGGCCCAUUGGUUUGUAUCUGACGCU